CUUGGCUUUUGGAUUGUUCCUUUGUUUUUUAUUUUAUUUCUCUGCUCUUUUGGGUUUACAUUUGUUUUGGACUCCUGCCUGCUGUGCUAAUUUAGUUUAGUUAAUUAAUCUCUGAAACUGCUCCUGCUCAUCUCCUGUGUCCUGCAUUUGGGUCCACACCUCCGUUACCUGCCUCUGCGCCUUGACAAAUGACCAUAGAAUCUCCUUGAAAUGGCACGGCAGCCAUUGCCGACCCGAGGAGAUUUGCAAUUCAGAUUCAAAUCAUCUUGAUGCAUUGCCGAUCACCUGUCGAGGGACUUGCUACUUUCUGAUCUUGAUCUUACAACUUUAUUUUACCUCUAAAGACCACUGAGGUGUCCUCAUUUACAAUGGUGUCAAGAUGCUAAAUAAUGCAAAAUAGUUUACAGUAAAAACAGUAACAGAGUUACAAUGUAGUGUACAAAGUUAAGAAACAAGAUAAUAA